GGAGAGAUGGUCGAGCGGUUGAAGGCACCGGUCUUGAAAACCGGCGUAGGGCAACCUACCGUGGGUUCGAAUCCCACUCUCUCCG
rnacentral:tRNA from 2 species